rnacentral:lncRNA from 1 species
CUCCCUCUCUCUCGAAGUGUGCAAUAUUUCCUUUCUAUUAUAUGUACAAAAUAACAUUUAGUUGCACUGACUCCCUCCCCGUUAUAUUUACUUUCACACAUAUGUCAAAAAAGAUCUGCAUGUUUUUCUGAGUUCUUUCUGUCAAAUUGCGCAUGCAUACAUACUCAAAUAUGAGAUAUUACCAACAAGCACGAACUGCCAAUUCCAUAAAAAUAGCUAUUAUUUGCCGAGAAUCUUCUAUUGACUGUUAUAUCGAUAAACUAUGCAUAUAACUGAACACGCAGAAGUAAUGAAAGAAAAGCAAGACAGAGCAUUUGUAUUAUCGAAUUAUACAUUGGAAUAAUGAAUAUCAUGACGAUAUAACGAUACAGUCUGUUCCCAACAAAAUGCAUGACCAUAAAGACAAUAUCAUCGAUCCUAGGAAACAAACGUUUUCAUAUAUACAUAUAUAUAUAUGUCUGUAUAUAUGUAUAUAUUCAUUAUGUAUGUAUGUAUACGUACGUCGCUCUUGGUCCAAAUUAUCUUAUCCAAUUCGUAAAGAUACGACUAAAGCAUACAAACUGAAUCCUUGAAAUACAAUAUCACUGUG